AGAGAACAGCGCGAUUACUAGUCAAAACAAAUUUUGUUACAAUUGGUGUCUCUGUUUUGUGAAGCAAUAUGCUUUUGUGGGUUUUUGGGACAAUAUUUCUUUUAAAUUAAAAAAAAAAUUGACAAAGAAACUAAAUUUUUGUAAUAAUAGGGCAAGGACAUAAAUGACAAUUCUCGUAGAGGAGAAACGAGGGUUCAAAAAAUUUGACUGUCAACAUAUUUGUCACUAUGACAAAGUAUCUAAAUUUCAGUAACAAUAGGACAAUGACAUAAAUGACAACUCUCGGAAAAGACAAACAAUAAUUACAACAAAUACAAACGAAUUGAAGGUCGCGUUGGCUACUCGGUAGUCGUACAAACGGGAACCUGGGAUCCAACAUAAGCGCCUCGAGGUACGUCGUGUGGUUUUUAGUGGGUAGAAUCCCACACACCCCAGCUGCCCUCCCUCCGGCAGAUGGGACGGUCUAUAGCUGAAGAUUUUCCACACGGAAGAAAAAAAAAAGGAUUGUGUUUUACAUAAAAAAAAGCCAACGUCAUUUGUGACAAAAUUAGUUAUUUGCAUUUAAAAACUAAACUACUGGGCAGAUUUUGAUAAAAAAUUUAUUGGGCCAAUUUAUAAGUAUAUCCUUUCAGUCGAAAAUCGGUUUUCGACUGUCAAAGUUAUGGGGUGACAAACAUAAGAACAAAAUAUAACCGAAUUGAGAACCCCUUUUUUUGAAGUCGGUUAAAAAUAAAGAAAAUUCUGUAUAGUGUUUCAUAGCCAAAUUUUAUUCACCGAAUGAUUUUUAAUACAUUUAUCCGUCUAAAUAACGGGUAUACAAAUUGAAUUGUAAACUAGUUUAUAUGUUAAUUUUCGAAUCAAACUGGUCGUUGCCUUCCGUGUUGCAGCUCUAGUAACAGGAAAAAAUCAGCAAUGUGAUAAAAAAUCUAAUCUGAGCGCCAGUAAUAAAUCAAUACUAUGUAAUAUGCAUUCACAUACUUUUUAACCGACUUCAAAAAAGGAGAUUGUUAAUGUGGUUAUAUUUUUUCUGAAGCUUUUUAAAUGACUUCAAAAAAUACUUUUAUAUUGAAGUAAUUUAAAAAGUAUUAAAGUAAUAUUAUAUGUAUAUAACUAGCUUUUAGCCGAGACUUUGUCCGCGUGACCGGGAUAAUAAUUUAAGACAGAAAAAAAACGACUUCAAUCGUGGCAAAACCAAAUUAAUUUUGAUUUUAAAACUAUCUGAAUUGAUUUUUUAUAAAGGUUCUAUGGGACCAAUUUGUCCAAUCCGUUUUAUAAAUGACAAUAUGUGUAUUGAGGUAACAAAUAUAAAAAAAUACAAUCGAGUUGAGAAACUCUAUUUUUGAAGUCAGUUAACAAUGACGAGCUAUUAUUAACCUAGUAUGUGCAGUGUUAAUUUAGUAAUUAAUAUCGUCAUUCAUCAUCAUCACCAUUAUCAUGACAGCCGUUAACUGUCCACUCCAGAACAUAGCCUCCCCCUAUGAGGGGCUUUGUCAGUAGUUGCCACGAUUGGCAGGCGGGUUGGCAACCGCGGUUAGGCUUUGAUGUUUGAAGGACACUGCUGCCUAUACCUCGACCACUAAGUUCCCUUAGUGACCUCUCACGACACCCACGGUAAAGGAAGGUGUGGUCCAUUCUAUGCCGGGACCUACACGGCGCUAGAUAGAUACUCUUUAUUGUUUUUUCCAAAAGAAUAUAAUAGUAAAGUUAUAGAUACAAACAAUUACAAGAAACUGAAGGGGUUAGGUAUGUUAUUCCAGCAUUUAGUCGAAUGGUAAUGAAAACAUACGGUCCAAGUGACAGUCCUAUGAAUAUAAACCUCCAACGGGGAUCGUGUUAUAUACAUAUCAUUACUACAUAGCAUAAAACCAAGUCACGUGGCUAUAUAUAUAUUAUUGCACUAAAACAUACAGUAACAACAAUAAGUUAAUAACAAUGUUAGCAAAGGCUAUUCUAAUAGCAUCAUAGCUAAUAAACAAGUUUGUAAUCUGUUCAUGUACCACAGAAAUAUAAAUUUAAACAAGUAGAAAUAUAAAUUUAACUCCGUAUUGUCUAUCCAUUGUCUAGUGCAUACAGUACAAGGUCUGUCUAGUUUGGAACUAGAUGGCGGUGUGUAGCAUUUACUUCUUUUAUCGUACCGUUAUCAUUGAGUUAAGCAAAGAUAAGAACAGAAGCUAUCUUGAUAACCGAGGUCUAUGACAGAUUUUUUUAUAAUCGCAUUCUUUAUAAUUGUCGCUUUGUGCAUUAUACGGGUGAAACGUGGACGUCUGCCAGAGUUAUGUAAAAAGAAGUUGUGUGUUUUAUAUAUAGAAUGUACCAAACGUUAAUAGUACAAUUUGCUAAUAGAAUUUUAAAUAUUUACAAGCAAGUGAACCGUGAUAAAAUUAUGAACCGGUCUGCUGUGGCUCUGGCUGCCAUCGGCUUCGGGCUCUCCACCUUCAGCAUCCGCCAGAUGAUCAUCAAUCAUUCGAGGCGAAUGUAAACACCGCAGAACAUUCUAGACGCUUCUAGAACUCACUACAUCGCUUAACAUUGAUGAAGUCUCGAAAAACUUGACUUUGCAUGUAUUGAUUAAAAGUUCCCACCAAAAAUCUUA